GGUAGAAAUACAGUAAGCGUGAAUCUAGAGAAUCGCAGUCUGAAGUUUCACACCUUCCGCUAUCCAUAUUCUACUGGUAGUCUAAAAUUCCGAUGGCGGCGUCGGGUGGAAGUGAGAGGGGGGGGGGGGGGGCGGUUCAGUAAGGAACGGGGUCAGGCUGCCUGCCACGAAGAACCGCGAGGGAGAAGGCCUUUGCCUCCUCCAUCUCCUCCUACUUCUACAUCCACAACAUCUUCUUCAUUUCAAUCGGCCGCCUCCCCCCUAAAUGAACAGCCAACCCCGCCAAAACAUCCGCGAUCCGAUGGUGUGAGGCACGCGCGCGCAUACGCCGUGCCCUGAACCAUUAGUAGUGGAUGAUG
ensembl:ncRNA T14F9.10 ncRNA